GAUGAACGCUGGCGGCGUGCCUAAUACAUGCAAGUCGAGCGAACGGACGGGAAGCUUGCUUCUCUGAUGUUAGCGGCGGACGGGUGAGUAACACGUGGAUAACCUACCUAUAAGACUGGGAUAACUUCGGGAAACCGGAGCUAAUACCGGAUAAUAUUUUGAACCGCAUGGUUCAGAAGUGAAAGACGGUCUUGCUGUCACUUAUAGAUGGAUCCGCGCUGCAUUAGCUAGUUGGUAAGGUAGCGGCUUACCAAGGCAACGAUGCAUAGCCGACCUGAGAGGGUGAUCGGCCACACUGGAAAUGAGACACGGUCCAGACUCCUACGGGAGGCAGCAGUAGGGAAUCUUCCGCAAUGGGCGAAAGCCUGACGGAGCAACGCCGCGUGAGUGAUGAAGGUCUUCGGAUCGUAAAACUCUGUUAUUAGGGAAGAACAUAUGUGUAAGUAACUGUGCACAUCUUGACGGUACCUAAUCAGAAAGCCACGGCUAACUACGUG
rnacentral:rRNA from 1 species